AGCUGGAUAAAGCAUCCUAAGUCUGCACCUCGUAAAGCUAUGACAAUGAGAGAAAUGUAUCCACCCAGGCAAUCAGAAUAUAGAGUGCAACCCAGAAGGUGCGCUGCAGCUCAAAGAGAGCCAUGGUUAUUGGCAUCAAGUUCUCCAUCAGCUUUACCUCACAGGCACCACUUGUGAUUUCAUAGUUUGAACACCAAUGAACAUGGAAGUGAUUCUCAUCCUUUGAGAUGAAUUAUGGGAAUUAUACUUGGCAUACAUGAUUGAGCCUUUGUGCCCUCUCUGCAAUAACCAACUAGAUAGACUUGUGAAAAUUCAAAUGUCUUCCAUUAGUUUUAUUUUGUUUUUGCUACAAUUGAUCAGUGUAAAGAUGUGCAUGAAUCACCAUUGUAACAAUUUCUUUGACUAGCAACCUUAAAUAAAUGUUCACUUUAUCAUUUCCUUGAAUGCAUUUAAUACAACUUGACAAUGCAGAAUAAUGUGAGUAAGAAGUUGUACAUUUAUAGUAUCUAAGUCCAAAGGUAAGAUUUGAUAAAUUGUGGAAUUCAUAUCGGCUAUUUCCUUCAGUAGUGGAUUUGCAAAUGUACAAGAGUCACACAGAGUUGAAAAUCUUAGUGGACAGAUAUAUAUGUCUGUAUUGUGAAGGUAUAUGAUUUAGAAUAUGGAUAUUUUUAAUUAUUCAAUUGCACAAUCCACAUGAAUUUGACUCUUCUGGUAACAGCUGUGUUUCAUCCUUACUGAAAUGAGAUUUGAUGAAAGAAAAGGUGAUAUGUUCAAUGCCACUCUUGAUUAAAGUUUAUCAAAUAUA